CUACGGUCCAAGGUGACCUCCACGGUCUGCGCCGCCACCAUUCGCUCUGCCUCCAUGGUCUCCACGGUCUGAGCCGCCAGCAUCGAGGGGGAGGGUCGGAGGGACACGAGCGGAUCCGAGGCGGCCUCCAUGGUCUGCGCCGCCACCAUCCGCUCUGCCGCCCUUCGCUCCACUUCGAAGGUAAGGAAACACCAGUCGUCCUCUACUCCGAAUCUGAAACAGUGGACGACUUCACCUUCGUCGACGCCCAGCAGCCUCCUAGUCUAGUAUCUGCAGGAGGCGGCGGUUUCAUAGGCCUGCCGCUGCUAUACCCAGUCUUGGCCGGCCGAGAUCCCCUCCGCGGGCUGCUCCGGAGACGGCCACCACGCGGUAUGAGCAUGAUCCACUUGACCAGCUGCUGGUACUCCAGCGCGUGUACUGCUUGCCAUUGCCUGGCACAUAGUGCCAGCACGCGUGUGCUGUCGGCCAAGGCAACUGCCAGGCACAUACUGCCAGCACAUGCUUGCCAUUACUUACUCCAAGAUUUAUAUUUUGUUGAAGAUAGAUUCUGG
rnacentral:lncRNA from 1 species